AGAUUGAACGCUGGCGGCAUGCCUUACACAUGCAAGUCGAACGGCAGCACGGGAGCAAUCCUGGUGGCGAGUGGCGGAACGGGUGAGUAAUACAUCGGAACGUGCCCAGUAGUGGGGGAUAACCCGGCGAAAGCCGGACUAAUACCGCAUACGACCUACGGGUGAAAGCAGGGGAUCGCAAGACCUUGCGCUAUCGGAGCGGCCGAUGUCAGAUUAGCUUGUUGGUGGGGUAAAAGCCCACCAAGGCGACGAUCUGUAGCUGGUCUGAGAGGACGACCAGCCACACUGGGACUGAGACACGGCCCAGACUCCUACGGGAGGCAGCAGUGGGGAAUCUUGCGCAAUGGACGAAAGUCUGAUGGAGCAACACCGCGUGCAGGAUGACGGCCUUCGGGUUGUAAACUGCUUUUAUAUGGGAAGAUUAUGACGGUACCAUAUGAAUAAGGACCGGACUAACUACGCGCCAGCAGCCGCGGU
rnacentral:rRNA from 1 species